rnacentral:rRNA from 1 species
AAGACUGCCGGUGACAAACCGGAGGAAGGUGGGGAUGACGUCAAAUCAUCAUGCCCCUUAUGACCUGGGCUACACACGUGCUACAAUGGGAAGUACAACGAGUUGCGAAGUCGCGAGGCUAAGCUAAUCUCUUAAAGCUUCUCUCAGUUCGGAUUGCAGGCUGCAACUCGCCUGCAUGAAGCCGGAAUCGCUAGUAAUCGCGGAUCAGCACGCCGCGGUGAAUACGUUCCCGGGCCUUGUACACACCGCCCGUCACACCACGAGAGUUUGUAACACCCGAAGUCGGUGAGGUAACCUUUUGGAGCCAGCCGCCUAAGGUGGGAUAGAUGAUUGGGGUGAAGUCGUAACAAGGUAGCCGUAUCGGAAGGUGCGGCUGGAUCACCUCCUUU